GGCGCCGUACCCAAGUGGGAAGGGAGAGGUCUGCAAAACCUUCAUGAGUCGGUCCGACUCCGACCGGCGCCU
rnacentral:tRNA from 1 species